rnacentral:tRNA from 1 species
ACUAUAUACCUUCAUCGCUCCAUCAGUGCCUAGUUUUUUGGAAUGACAAGGGCGAAGCAGAGGUGGUGCAGG